rnacentral:rRNA from 1 species
CGGAUUGCAGGCUGCAACCCGCCUGUAUGAAGUUGGAAUCGCUAGUAAUCGCGGAUCAGCAUGCCGCGGUGAAUACGUUCCCGGGCCUUGUACACACCGCCCGUCACACCAUGAGAGUCGGGAACACCCGAAGUCCGUAGCCUAACCGCAAGGGGGCGCGGCCGAAGGUGGGUUCGAUAAUUGGGGUGAAGUCGUAACAAGGUACC